rnacentral:lncRNA from 15 species
UGUGUUAUUGAUGAAUGGAGUAAUCCUGACAGGUUGUAUGAGUCUCCAAAGAAGCAGGAGUUUGUGGGGAGAAGUGAAUCUGCUCUUGGAUGGUGUCGACGCGUCCUGGAUAACCCCAGUCCUGAGACGGAGGCGGCGUGUCGUUCACUGAUAAAUAGGCUGGAUCAAAGAUCAAGCAGUCACCUCUACAGACGUCCUGCAGUUUCCUAUCGUACUGGCAAUGUUUCAGUGGGCUCCUUUAUGGACAAAACAUUUGGCGGCACAACACACAGUACCUCCAACAGUUUAGAUACCAGUGAGAUGAGCAUCUCCCAUGACUCCAUAACCACAAGCUACAGACUGCAGGACAUGACAGAUGUCCACAUUAUGGCUCGUAUACAGGAAGCCAGUUUAAGACAGGACUACGUCUCCACACCUACUACUGCUUCACCUAGGAGAGGCCUUGAGCCAUCGGCGAUGUCUCCAUCUUACUUUAACCACACUGUUAAUAAUAUUGAUGACUUCACUGCAGGAAAUAAAACUGGGGCGUCGUCUUCCUCUUGUUGGCAGCCUGGUCUGUCGUCACUGAGCUCUUUCUCUUGCCAGGCACCAACAUCAGUAGCUAAAGGCUGCCAAAGUCCAAAACUGGCUCGACUUCACCAGCAGGUCACCCAGUUCAAGCUGCUUAAACUUGCUCAGAAUCAAGCAUCACCAGGCAGAACCAGGUCACCUCUGCGGACGAGCCUCCGCUCCCUCCAGGCUGUUAGGAACAGCCGAAGUUUAGACACUGAGGACUAUCAACCUGCUGACUCCCAAAUCCCUUACCCCCCCUCAGGUUUGGAUCUGUUUUCUCAUAUAACAAAAAGAAAAUACCAACA